AUUGAACGCUGGCGGCAUGCCUUACACAUGCAAGUCGAACGGCAGCACGGGUGCUUGCACCUGGUGGCGAGUGGCGAACGGGUGAGUAAUACAUCGGAACAUGUCCUGUAGUGGGGGAUAGCCCGGCGAAAGCCGGAUUAAUACCGCAUACGAUCUACGGAUGAAAGCGGGGGACCUUCGGGCCUCGCGCUAUAGGGUUGGCCGAUGGCUGAUUAGCUAGUUGGUGGGGUAAAGGCCUACCAAGGCGACGAUCAGUAGCUGGUCUGAGAGGACGACCAGCCACACUGGGACUGAGACACGGCCCAGACCCCUACGGGAGGCAGCAGUGGGGAAUUUUGGACAAUGGGCGAAAGCCUGAUCCAGCAAUGCCGCGUGUGUGAAGAAGGCCUUCGGGUUGUAAAGCACUUUUGUCCGGAAAGAAAUCCUUGGCCCUAAUACGGUCGGGGGAUGACGGUACCGGAAGAAUAAGCACCGGCUAACUACGUG
rnacentral:rRNA from 1 species